rfam:Hanseniaspora osmophila strain AWRI3579 Hanseniaspora_osmophila_AWRI3579_scaffold288, whole genome shotgun sequence.
GGAGGGAUUUUCAAUGUUGGUAAUUGAAGUUGAGUUGUAGCCUCAAUGGUUUAAUCCUUCAUAGGUUCAAUUCCUAUUCCCUUCA